rnacentral:rRNA from 1 species
UACAGAGGUCCCGAGCGUUGUUCGGAUUCAUUGGGCGUAAAGGGUGCGUAGGCGGCGGGGCAAGUCUGAUGUGAAAUCCCGGGGCUCAACCCCGGAACUGCAUUGGAUACUGCCUUGCUUGAGUACUGGAGAGGAGACUGGAAUUUACGGUGUAGCAGUGAAAUGCGUAGAUAUCGUAAGGAAGGCCAGUGGCGAAGGCGAGUCUCUGGACGACAUCUGACACUGAGGCACGAAAGCUAGGGGAGCAAACAGG